AUACGGAGGGUGCAAGCGUUACUCGGAAUCACUGGGCGUAAAGCGCGCGCAGGCGGCUUGAUAAGUUGGAUGUGAAAGCCUACGGCUCAACCGUAGAACUGCAUCCAGAACUAUUUAGCUAGAGUGUGGGAGAGGAAGAUGGAAUUAGUUGUGUAGGGGUAAAAUCCGUAGAGAUAACUAGGAAUACCAAAAGCGAAGGCAAUCUUCUGGAACACUACUGACGCUGAGGCGCGAAGGCGUGGGGAGCAAACAGGAUUAGAAACCCCAGUAGUCC
rnacentral:rRNA from 1 species